AGUAAGAUGUGGAAGAAAGAAAGGAGAACGGAGCGCAAGUAAGAUGUGGAAGAAAGAUUUGAGGGUGGGUGGCAAGUAGAAAAUGAGAGAAAGAGUGGAGGGUGG